AGCAGCCGCGGUAAUUCCAGCUCCAAUAGCGUAUAUUAAAGUUGUUGCAGUUAAAAAGCUCGUAGUUGAAUUUCGGGGUUAAUAAGUUGGUCGUGCCAAUGGUAUGUACUGGCUUUAUUGAUUCCUACCUCUUGAAGAACUGUGAUGCCAUUAAUUUGGUGUUGCAGGGAAUCAGGACUGUUACCUUGAAAAAAUUAGAGUGUUUAAAGCAGGCUUACGCUUGAAUACAUUAGCAUGGAAUAAUGAAAUAGGACGUUUGAACCUAUUUUGUUGGUUUCUAGGAUCGACGUAAUGAUUAAUAGGGAUAGUUGGGGGCAUUAGUAUUCAAUUGUCAGAGGUGAAAUUCUUGGAUUUAUUGAAGACUAACUACUGCGAAAGCAUUUGCCAAGGAUGUUUUCAUUAAUCAAGAACGAAAGUUAGGGGAUCGAAGACGAUCAGAUACCGUCGUAGUCUUAACCAUAAACUAUGCCGACUAGGGAUCGGAUGAUGUUAAUUUUUAAUGACUCAUUCGGCGCCUUAA
rnacentral:rRNA from 1 species